UACGUAGGGUCCAAGCGUUGUCCGGAGUUACUGGGCGUAAAGCGCGCGCAGGCGGCGGUGCUGGCCCGGCGUGAAAGCCCCCGGCUCAACCGGGGAGGGUCGUCGGGGACCGCACCGCUUGAGGGCGGUAGGGGCUGGUGGAAUGCCUGGUGUAGUGGUGAAAUGCGUAGAGAUCAGGCGGAACACCCGUGGCGAAGGCGGCCAGCUGG
rnacentral:rRNA from 1 species